GCCCUCCCAGUCCACGAGAUACUCAAGGCGACCUUGACAGCGUCGGGAGUCCAGGAUCUUAUUUACGGAGUACAACGGGCCCAACAGGAGAUGCAAAAUGGAUUUGCCUACUGUACACCAGGCCCUGAGGAGGAAGAAUAGGGAGAGGUGACCGGCGUGUGCUUAUGUACCUCUUUAUCAGGUACUGUCAUAAAGGUUGGUCCAGAUGAGAGGGUUGCUUAGUGACUGCAGGCCAUUGACCCUGACCAAGCUGUGCCGUGGGUGACUGUUCAGAGAACUAGAAGACCGGCUUGCCUGGCCGUGUCCCGAAGGAACGGGACUGACGCGCACAGCGCUGAAACAUUACAGACCUACCUGGACACCCCAGACAGACCCUUGAACUUUGAGUGCUGGCACUACUUUUAGAUUAACUUAAAGCGUAUUUUAAUGUUUUAU
ensembl:lncRNA